rnacentral:tRNA from 1 species
GCGGGUAUAGUAUAGUGGCUAUUACGGCUGGUUGCCAAUCAGCAGAGACGGGUUCAAUUCCCGUUACCCGCUCCA